ACCUCGAUGUUGGUUCUUCACCGAUUGGGAUCCUAGUGUGUUCCAAGGGUUGGAUUGUUUGCCCACUAAAGUGGUAUGUGGGCUAGGUUCAAAACGUUGUGAGACAGUUU
rfam:Glycine max cultivar Williams 82 chromosome 8, whole genome shotgun sequence.